GACCAAUCCGAUGACAAACCCGACAACCUAUGCUAUCAGAAGAUACUAUGAAAGCCAGUUCAAACAAGUCUUGUUUAAUUUAGUAAGGGAAUAGGGGAUACCGCUCCAGUAGUUGAAGGUGCAAGCAAUGACUUGAGAUUAAGUUUUUCUGAAAUCAUUCUUAUGCAUUUCUUGAUCUUGUCCCAAACCAUUUGUGUGCACAUUUGUGUGCAGGAGAAAGUCUUGGCAUUUGUUUGAGACUCUAUGUUAUCAGGAAGCAAUAAGCCAUAUGUAAGCUCUUUGGAAUUGUAAUUAUUCUCCUGGAUGAAUUUUGGUGUUCCUCCAUUGGCCUUCAUGUCGACAUUAGCAACUUCUUUGUUCAUCUCACUUGAGCAAAUCCUUAUAAUGUUAUAAACAUAAGACCACAAAUAAACUGCACCUAUCGCCAUUGAAAGUGAAGCGUAAGCAAUUCCAUUUGUGUAGCAAACAUCAGGGGGUCCAAAUGGACUGCCUUUCUCCUUACAGAUUGCUGGGAUGAUGAUUAAAGGCAAAUUUCCCAUGUUUCCUGCUGCACAGCAACCCAAAAUGAGACCUUUUAGAGGUUUUGGAGGGCCUGUGAUUUUUACAAGUAUCCAUCCCAAUGCUGAGCCAAUAAUAAAUGUGACAAGGAUAUUGAAUGGCAUAAACCACAACAACUCCAUGCUUUCAAUGGUAAUUGUAUUAGCCAAGUUGCUACCCACUAGUGCUGGGUUAAACACAUAGAAAACAACUUGAUUUAUUUGCUUCCUUGUAUCCUCCCCCAAGAUAUUGACAUUGUCCAAUGCCAAAAACGAGCCAAGUCCUGUGAGUAAGAGUACUUUCAGAACUGGCAUAGAAGCAAUGACAAAUAGGUCCAGGAGGCGCAUGGUGACUGUUGCUCCUUAAUUCUUUGUGGGUGGAGAGUUUUUUUAAGAGGAGAAGGAAAGGGAAUAUUCCGUUGAAGGGAGGAGGAAG
rnacentral:misc_RNA from 1 species